AUAAAUAAAAAUAUACUAAUAAUCUAUGUUAAUGACUUGUUUUCUUUUGCUCUCAUUUUUUGAAUUGCCUCAUAAAAUUUUGUGUAAUAUGUUGAAUGUAAAACCAAUGCAUAAAAUUCUCUGAUGUCCACCCAUUGUCAUCUCUUAAGUACGCACUCUUAAUUGACUUGUGCCUAUAUGGGAUCAAACAGAGACCAUUUUGAGGUAUGGCAUGUCUUUUCAAUUUUUUUAGAAAGAAGAACCAUGUGGCCGCUAUUUCACCAUCAACAAUUGCAAAUGGUAUUAGAAGUAUUUAAUUGUUUCCAUAUUUUUCAAUAGUUACUAGUAGAGUGCCUCUAUACUUUCCAUACAACCAAGUAUGAUCAACUUGGACAAGGGGAUUAUAGCAGUUAAACUCAUCAAUACAUGGUUUGAAACACCAAAAUAAACUAUGGAAUUGAACAAAACCCUUGACUAUAAUUGUCCUUCAUGGUUGUACAAUGGUUUCAUUUUCUUCUCUACAACCAAACCUAAAAGGUAAUAGUUGUUAUCAAUUUGGGUAAAUCAUUUUACUAUUUUUUCCAAUUUUCAUAUAUAUCUUCAAUAACUUUUUGUUUGACCUUCCAUGCUUUUUUGUACGUCACAAUGUAGCCUUUAACACUUUUUACAUGUGCUAUCAAUGUUGAGAUUGAAAUGGAUUGAUCACUUUCAAUCUUGGGCAUGGUAUCGUAUGAUGAACAUUCAACCAACAAUUGAACGUGAUUUAUCAUAUCCACUUGCUACUAGAUAUGACGUUAUUGAUGAUUUUCCUUUAUCAUUUCACUACAACAAACAAUGAUACUAACAAUCCCAAAAUAACCUAUUUUUAUUUUGUGAUAAAUGGAGUGACAAAGGGCUAAGAUUUACAGGAACUCCCUAUGGUGAUGCCAUAGGUUACAAAUUAAGAUUCGAUAAUAUGAAGAAUGAUCAGAGGGUUUGAGUCAUUCUUACCAAACCAUGCUUACGAGGACUCUAAAAUAUGAAGUGCAUGCAUUGUAUUAAUUUGUUUUCCAAUUAUUGUAUGGCAUCAAACUAGCAAGGUCCAAUUUCAAUUUAGCCUAUGGAAACUCAUCCUAAAUACUCCCUAUAACCUUGACAAACUCCACCAUAAAGACAUGAGAGGACAUAUAACACAAAUUGGGUAGAGGAACAUGUGCAAUGGAUAACUAUUUGGAAGGAACGAUAAAAACAAGUGAUUGUUGAUCGACCUAUUCAAGGACCUCUACAAUAUACCCGUGAAUAUUUGGAAUGGUAUCGUGCAAAUUUUAAAGUUUUCCUAUAUGUAGAACACUUCACAAUUGUAGGUGACACAAUUGUUGAAAGUAUACAAAUGCUAACUAGACAAUGUUCAAGGCAACGUUAUACACCACCUCUACAAAGUCUAAUUAUUGACAUGAACAAUUUCUUAACACCCCAUACUCAACAAGUGGUGUUGGAUUUGACUACAUGAGUAAUUUAGUUGGUGCUGACCUUCAAACACUAGAAUUUGUGUACGUUUACAUUCAAAGCAUAAGUAUUUCUUUGUUUGCAUCAAUUCAAGAAAAUGUCAUUGGAUGCUUUA